rnacentral:miRNA from 1 species
UCCUGGUUUACCUGGGACUGAGGAGUUUCCCAGGACAUGGGACAUUCAGUGCUAUAACCAGGCAAGU